GCCCGCGUAGCUCAGUGGAUAGAGCGUCUGCCUCCGGAGCAGAAGGCCGCUGGUUCGAGUCCAGUCGCGGGCA
rnacentral:tRNA from 3 species